GCGAGUCAACGUAGCAAUACGUGGCACACGGCUCAGUAACACGUAGUCAACAUAACCAGAGGACGUGGAUAAACUCGGGAAACUGAGGCUAAACCGCGAUAGACCAAGAUACCUGGAAUGGUUUUUGAUCAAAAUCUAUAUGGCCUUUGGAUUGGACUGCGACCGAUCAGGCUGUUGGUGAGGUAAUGGCCCACCAAACCUGUAACCGGUACGGGCUCUGAGAGGAGGAGCCCGGAGAUGGGUACUGAGACAAGGACCCAGGCCCUAUGGGGCGCAGCAGGCGCGAAACCUCUGCAAUAGGCGAAAGCCUGACAGGGUUAUUCUGAGUGACUUUCGCUAAGAAAGUCUUUUGACAUCUCUAAAAAUGGUGUAGAAUAAGGGGUGGGCAAGUCUGGUGUCAGCCGCCGCGGUAAUACCAGCACCCCGAGUGGUCGGGACGUUUAUUGGGCCUAAAGCAUCCGUAGCCGGUUCUACAAGUCUUCCGUUAAAUCCACCUGCUUAACAGAUGGGCUGCGGAAGAUACUAUGGAGCUAGGAGGCGGGAGAGGCAAGCGGUACUCGAUGGGUAGGGGUAAAAUCCGUUGAUCCAUUGAAGACCACCAGUGGCGAAGGCGGCUUGCCAGAACGCGCUCGACGGUGAGGGAUGAAAGCUGGGGGAGCAAACCGGAUUAGAUACCCGGGUAGUCCCAGCUGUAAACGAUGCAGACUCGGUGAUGGACUAGCUUAAUGCUAGUCCAGUGCCGCAGGGAAGCCGUUAAGUCUGCCGCCUGGGUAGUACGGUCGCAAGACUGAAACUUAAAGGAAUUGGCGGG
rnacentral:rRNA from 1 species